rnacentral:rRNA from 1 species
UUUGAAAUCUGGCCCUCGGGUCCGAGUUGUAAUUUGUAGAGGAUGCUUUUGGCGAGGUGCCUUCUGAGUUCCCUGGAACGGGACGCCUUAGAGGGUGAGAGCCCCGUACGGUUGGACACCGAGCCUCUGUAAAGCUCCUUCGACGAGUCGAGUAGUUUGGGAAUGCUGCUCUAAACGGGAGGUAAAUUUCUUCUAAAGCUAAAUAUUGGCCAGAGACCGAUAGCGCACAAGUAGAGUGAUCGAAAGAUGAAAAGUACUUUGAAAAGAGGGUUAAACAGCACGUGAAAUUGUUGAAAGGGAAGCGUUUGCGACCAGACCUCUUCCUGGCGGAUCAUCCGGUGUUCUCACCGGUGCACUUCGCCAGGUCGAGGCCAGCAUCGGUUUUCGUAGGGGGAUAAAAGCUCUGGGAACGUAGCUCCUCCGGGAGUGUUAUAGCCCUCUGCAUAAUACCCUUACGGGGACCGAGGACCGCGCUUCGGCAAGGAUGCUGGCAUAAUGGUCGUCAACGACCCGUCUUGAAACACGGACCAAGGAGUCGAACAUUUGUGCGAGUGUUUGGGUGUUAAACCCUCACGCGUAAUGAAGGUGAACGUAGGUGAGAGCCCUUGCGGGUGCAUCAUCGACCGAUCCUGAUGUCUUCGGAU